rnacentral:rRNA from 1 species
UACGUAGGGUGCAAGCGUUAAUCGGAAUUACUGGGCGUAAAGCGUGCGCAGGCGGUUAUAUAAGACAGAUGUGAAAUCCCCGGGCUCAACCUGGGAACUGCAUUUGUGACUGUAUAGCUAGAGUACGGUAGAGGGGGAUGGAAUUCCGCGUGUAGCAGUGAAAUGCGUAGACAUGCGGAGGAACACCGAUGGCGAAGGCAAUCCCCUGGACCUGUACUGACGCUCAUGCACGAAAGCGUGGGGAGCAAACAGG